rnacentral:rRNA from 1 species
UGGGGGAUAUUGCACAAUGGGCGAAAGCCUGAUGCAGCGACGCCGCGUGGGGGAUGAAGGCUUUCGGGUUGUAAACUUCUUUUGCUCUGAACAAGGCAUGCCUUUGGGGUGUGUUGAGUGUAGGGGUUGAUUAGCGCCGGCUAACUACGUGCCAGCAGCCGCGGUAAUACGUAGGGCGCGAGCGUUGUCCGGAAUUAUUGGGCGUAAAGGGCUUGUAGGUGGCUGGUUGCGUCUGUCGUGAAAGCUCAUGGCUUAACUGUGGGUUUGCGGUGGGUACGGGCUGGCUUGAGUGCAGUAGGGGAGGCUGGAAUUCCUGGUGUAGCGGUGGAAUGCGCAGAUAUCAGGAGGAAUACCGGUGGCGAAGGCGGGUCUCUGGGCUGUUACUGACGCUGAGGAGCGAAAGCGUGGGGAGCGAACAGG